AUGCCUUCUUUCGGCCUUUUUGCUAAGAUCAUGUGUAGUGUCUGUUCUUAUCAGUUUAAUAUCUGAUACGUCCCCUACCCAGGGACCAUAUGUUAAAUUGAUUUUUGGGACCAGGAGAUGGAAUAGGGGCUUGCUUCGUCCACACUGCGAGUUGGCCUAGUGGUUAGCAUGUCUGCCUCUCGAUCAGGUCAUACCAA